GAGAAGAGAAGAGAGGAGAGGAGAGGAGAGGAGAGGAGAGGAGAGGAGAGGAGAGGAGAAAGGAAAAGAAAAGAAAAGAGAAGAAAAGCUUAGCUAGCAGUCUUAUUGCUCAUUUGAAAGUCAGGAAUGAGAUCAAGGGGAUUCCUGUGAGCAAGGUUCUUCCUGGUACCUCAGUGAACAACUGGAUGAAGAAGAGGGGAAGGAGGAGGCUGCCUGUGCCCCCCAAGACAUCAGGUACCCUCCUUAUGGUGACUGCAGAGAUCCUGGGAAGAGUCAAACAAAGGUUAUUCAAAUCCAGAGGUGUCUCCUGGACCCAAAGGGGUUCACCAGAGAGGAAGGAGACCGCUUGGAAAAGGCUUUUCCAAUUUGGAGGCACAAAUAAGUGAGAACUUGGGGAUCCACUGAGGUCUGAGGCACGGUGGUACCAGAGGAGAUGAAGGGGCUGUCGGCAUGAAGCUGGUCCCCUGUUGACAGCACGCUGAUUUUCCCGUUGGGCUCUAUCAGCAUGUCCACUGUCAGACACUGAUGGCGUUCAAAAGAAAAUCAAGGGACCUGCCUACGUGGUUCUGCUUUCUAGAUGCUUCUGACAUCCCUACAUGGAGGCCUAGAGAGUGAAAAGGGCAAGACCUGAAAAAGUAAGCAAGACUGUCAGUGUUGAAAUGAGCCAUGUGGACUAUCUAGGACAAACGCCUCAUGUCACAGAAGAGGGAACGAGGGCUUCUCCAGUCACACUGGGAGGCCGCAGGUGCUCUCUGGCUGCCUCUGACUCCUGGACCAUGCUCGUUAAAAUACCAGGAUGGUAAAUCAGUGAAUUCCAAAGUCAGAAUUUUUGUUGGAUCUGGCACAGUGACAGGAAAGUCUGAGCCUUCUCAAGGGCAUCCGUGUCUCACCGAGGGGCACCAAGGACAGAUGACCAGAAGCAAAUGGCGCAGUCACCGUCAGAGGAGAGUAAAACUCAUUCUGAAACCGUUCCAAAUGCCCAUGCCUGUUCUGUGGUUUUCAGCAAAGCAGACCUUUCCAAAAGACCUCCAACGGGGACUUCCUGGAUGUGAGAACACUAACCAAUUCUCGUUCCUCUCAUCUUUUGCUUUAUUCCUUCCUUCCACGCUGUUAUUGCGAAAAACUGGCAGUUAAAUUCAAUUGAUUCAAAGUAUUCGGGAUCCAUAUGGCCGCCAACCCUGGAGCUGAAGCGGCGAUAGCGCCUCACUGCUGUUUUCAAGCAUUUGCCUCUCCUCCAGUCCCCAGAUGGUGGGAGUAACAUUUAAACCUCCUUUUCUCUGCCUUGUACAAUAGACCUUGGCACCAUUUCAACUGUUUACUCCGGUAAUUAACAGCUCUGAUACCACAACAAUUACAACUCCUACACUCUCACCACAAUAAUGCUAUGAAUUAGUGAGAGCUAAUGGCUGGAAGGUAGAGUGUUUCCAGACUGUGAGAUCUGUGCAUUUUUAGAAUAAAAUAAAAGGUACAAACAGCACGCUUGCAGUAGACAAUGAUUACCUAGUAAUUAGUUUACACAAAGCUUCCUAUUUAAUGGCAAAACGCUGUAAUUAACG